CCAUGCCGAUAGUAGAGGGCCUGAUGUGGGGCUUGAACUCAACGAAUCGUGAGAUCAUGACCUGAGCCAAAGUUGGACCCUUAACUGACUGAGCCACCAAGGCGCCCCCCCCUCCCCCCUUUUUGGAUGUUUCUUUCUAAUUCAAGAUCUAGCUCAAAUAUUAUUUCUUUAAGGAAGGAUUAGGUGUCUUUCCUUUGAAGUUCAAUAGCCCACCUUUUAUAGCCAGGCUUUCAUUAUAUUGGGACUUUUGGUAUAGAUUUCUGUAUCCUCUACUGGGUUCUAGGCUUCUGGUGGGCAGACUUUGUCUUAUUAACAUCUGUAUGUUCAGCCCCAGCACAGUACUUGGCAUACAGUGGAAACUAGGAAAUGUUUGUUGAAUGAAAAAUGCAGCCAAACACUUAAGUAUGAAAUAUAUACCAGGCUUCAAACUGUUUUUUAAAAAUCCCCCAGUUUUAUAAUCUUGCUAGUCCAAUCAGCUUGAGUCACAGAGCCAAGGAAAUAAAUAAAUUCAACUUUUCUUAUCAUGGGCCUGCUGUCAACUGUGACUGCCCAUAGGGUCAGGACAGGGCCACCUCCUCAGUGCAGGCGAGGCAAAUCCUCAAGAUGGCACAUCAUUAGACAGAAUUUCUAAGAGCUCAUGACACGGCUUUUUCCUUUUGUUUCUGGGAACAGUUUAAAUAGUGACCCUUGUCAGUCCCCAGGCACGUGCUUUGUUACUGCCGCUGAGUGCUAUCCUGCUCCUAUCCAAAGGAUGGGAUGGGCGGAGUGUCAGCUCUCAGGCUAAGCAGAGGGAGUAGACUGGACCUUGUACCACCUUGCCUUAGCUCCACCUUUCUCACAGAGAUCUCACGAUAUCUCCGUGACAGUCUCCUUGUCCCCUACAAGUAAUCCUGUGAGAGAAUAGCCUAUGGGUUUGCCCCAGUCUAGUGUUUACUCGAGGAGACAGAGGGCUAAGCUCCUUUAUCAUUUUGUCCUUACUAGAUCUAUUUAGUGCUAGAAUAGGCGCGGACAGUUUUCCGUAGCUGGUUAGCAAGUUAUCUGUGAUCAAUCAGGCUGCUGUCAGGAACGUGGUCACUUUGCCAAAUCUCAUAUCCUUUUGUUGGGACAGGGGUGACUUGUACAAGUCAAACGGAAAUACAGUGUAAACUUUUUUAUAAUUUACCUGUGCCAGUAACUUGCACCUUUUCAAGUUUCAUUUAAAAUUCCUGUGUUCUUACGAUUUUCUGAGUUCUGAUUGAAUUUUCAGUAACGUUCUCUUUCUCAGAAGUGCUUAGUGUGUCUGUUGAUCUUUUACUAUGGAUCUAUCAAUGGAAGACAGAAGUCCCUACUUGUAAAAAACAAGUAAAAAUUGCUUAGCAUCUUUCUUGAGGGCUUAGGCCCACUAUAUAGUAAGCUCUUAGAAGUUCCUAUAGAAAUUGUUAUUAAAUGCUUAGUGGGCUAAAGUCUAAUGGAAGAAGUAUGAUAAUUUUCUUGUGGAAAGCUUUGAUUGCUUUUGGGGAUAAGAUAGAGUCUGUCAUGGUUCUUACUAAGGCUGAGAAAUAUUUUAAAAAUUGUUGCUAGUGGUGCUGAAGUAUAAUAGACAUUGUACUAGUGUGUGUUAAUUUCCUGCUACUGGCAACAUUUCCUCCUGAUCUCUAGAAAAGACUAAUAGAAUUAUGUAUGUCAGUGGAACCAAGCCCAGUCAAGUGAUCUUUUCUGGAAACUUAUAUUGUUCUCAUUAAUCAGUUGGAUCACCAAUGGUAUGGUAAUGAAGGAGGACCAGGAGAAUAUGAAGGUAUAUUUUAUUCUAGGAAAAAAAUAUUUUAAAGUCAGGAACUAUUGAGACCCAGGCUUUGAUCUAUGGCUUGGCUUUCAUAGAUGAAGAAUAGUAUCUUACAGUCAUAUUGUUUUUAGUAUUAAGAAGAGGUAAGAUAUGUCAAAGAGAUAGGUCCUCUUGGAUUCUAUGAUACUAUGAUAACUACAUCUCUAGUUCUGUAAAUUCCUCAAAUGUCUUUUUCUCUGUGUUCUAGGCAAUACUACUUCAAGUGUGGUCCAUGGAUUGUAUCAGCACAGUAUCAGCGGAGAGCUUGUUAGAAAAACAAAUUCUCUAGUCCCCGUCCCAGCAUCUCUGGGGUGGGACUCCAGGUCUCUUUUCACAUGCUCUCCAAGUGAUUCUUACACACAUUAAAGUUUGGGAAGCAGUGGUCUAGAGCAUCAUAUCCUAAAGUGUGUUUUCUUAGUUUUUUUGUAAGUGCCACACCAAAAAUUGUUCCAAUCAUGGUCAAUUUGGAAACUGCUAGGUUAAACAAAGUUAAGCUUUUUAGUUUCCAUUAUUAUUAUUAUUAUUAUUAUUAUUAUUAUUAAUUAUUAUUAUUAUUAUUAUUUUGUGGGGGGCUACCAGAUUUUGCAGAGCUUCUAAUAUGUUACUCUGCUGUUCAAAAUUCUCUUGUGGACUUCUAGCACACUUAAAGUACAAUCCAGAGUUAUCAUGGAUAAUCCAAAGGUCUUAUCAUGGCCUGUAGGACCCUGCAUGAUCUAGCCAUUGACUCUCUGAUCUCAUUUCCUGUCUUUGUUGCUCUUGCUUAGUACACUUCACCGCCUACGCUGAUCUUUUAGCCAAGCACACUCUUACUUUAAAGCCUUUGCACCUGUUCUUCCCACUGUAUGGAAACCUCUGGUCCCUCCUCACAUGUUUCUUCUAUAGAGAGACCUUCCCAGGUCAUCCUGUACAAAACCGUAGCUCCGGUCACUUCACUCAAGCCCCUUACCCUAAUUUGUUUUUCAUUAUAGCCCUCACAACUGUCUGACAUGUACAGUAUUGAUUGUUCAAUUGUUUACUGUUUGUCUCCUCCACAAGAAUGUCUGCUUCAUGGGGAGUUUGUUCAUCACAGAUUCUUUGGUACCUGGACUAGUGCCUGACCCAUGAAGGGCAAGGAAAAGAAUGAUGGUGGGAGAAAACACAUCUGGUUUGUCCCCCAAAGGCCGCUCUUCAAGAGGAGCUUGAAAAGAUCAAGGUGCACCAUGUCAUAAAUUAAAGGAGCUGUAGCUAAGUUAUUAGGAUAGAAGCCUUGGAUACCACUGUGGAUAUUGGGGACAUAUUGGUGGUACAGCCAAUCUUACCUUUAGGAUUACCUUGGAUUAUCCUCCAAGUCAGGCAGCAGAGACUGAAGUUUCUGGUGCAACAGCAAGUACCAGCCUGGUUAAGCACAGAAGGAUGUUUGAAUGCAGUCUUAUUUUAUAUGUGGUCAACUCUCCAGUGAACUAUUUUGGUUGUGACUUUUGCUUCCCUAUACAACUGCAGGAACUCGGAUAAUGAACAAUUAGAAAUAUGUAUCAGUAGACACACCAGCACAUAGACCUCAGUUACCAGCACUUGAAGAGAAUCCCAGAUGUUUUAAAGAAAAAUGCCUGAUAUUUCAAGUAUGCCACUUGUGGAGUUUUCAAGAGAUCUACAGUAAGCUGGAGAGCCAAAGUAGAACUGGAACUUAUAAAAGUGACACAGAUGACCUAAAAAUGAAUGAGCCAGCGGGUCAAUAUCUACAGAUAUGAAAACACUGGAAUGAUCCUUCCAGGGUGCAGACAAAUAUUUCUAGAGAAAGGAUGAUGACAACACAGAAGGACAGCCCUCAGCUGACCAGUGGUAGACAUACAGCUUGGUUUUAGAAAUGUAGAGUCAUUUUGGAAGGAGAGUUCUAGCUGAACACCUCUAUUUACUGGAUGGCAGCUACAUAAAAUGCAGCCUGAAAGGUUAAGAAGGAAAAGAGCUCCUGAAGGUCUGGCCUUGUCACCCGAAGCCUAUAAUGUGAGGAGAAGAGUCACAGAAUCAAUGCAAGCGUAGAAAAUUCAUGACUGGAAGCAUCAGGAUGCACAAAGAGGACCAAAUCUAAAGCUCAGUUACAGAGGAAGAACAGGACUGCUGCCACUUUGCAAACAUUUCAAGAGGUCACCCUCUGUGGGGAGGAUGAAGUCAACAAGAUGAAUCUCCUCAGAGUAACUGCUGGAUAGUGUUGACGAACGCUUGAAUCACGUCAUCGGACUGCAGCUGUACUGACAGUGGACCCCGAGCUGUCCUGCAUACUGUUGGUUUCGCCCUUCUAGGACGCGGCCAGGCCCCUGGAGACCUAGACAGCUGAAGCCGUAGACCCAGAACAUGGUCUCUCCCAUGGCAGAAAACCUGGUUGUGGGCUCUGCUUUGAAAUUCACUCUUGCAACACCAGACCCCCGCCACUGAGCACCAGCCGUAAAUGAAAGCAAAAGCUAGAGUUCAGGCGGAAGCUAAAAGUAAUUACACGGACUUGGCUGACCCUUUCAGGGAUAGAUUCUUCCAUUUAUAACAGAGACUAAAACAGAAAAAAACCCACUGGAGGUGGUCAGGGCUGAAACAGUGUUUCUAGCGUCUUCCGGGUCACCACUCAGUAACUUAUUUCAAAUCGUUUUGAAUGGUGAGUUCUCACAUCCAGGUGUUCCUCUGCCUCACCUGUUUACAAAUGUCCUUACCAGUUUUUAUUCCAUUAGGCCUCAGCAUAGAAAAGUAACAAGCAUCUCAGGCUUCAGGGUUUUGAUUUUUAAAACGAACAAAAUAAAAAAGAGGCCAACAAAAAAACCCAGACUCUUAAAUGCAGAGAACAGGCUGGUGGUUG